UAUAAUCGCAUUUGUUCAUUGCGUCGCUGUCUCCUUCUAUCCUCACUCUCGAACUCUCCUCUGAAAUCCUGAAUUUAAUCUUAAAAGGAAUUAAAUAAUAUAGGAAAACAGGAUUACUUGGAAUUCAAGCUGCAGGUGGAUUUAGUUGCAUGAAGAAUAAUAAGUUGAUGAUUGGAACUUGAAAGUUUGGUUGAUGGCGGCGAACCCCCGGCCACUGCAGGCGAUUCCCGUCCGCGAUCACGCGCCUCCGGCCGUAAGUUUAGAUGACGUGGAUGACGAUAACGGCACGUACGAAGAUGAUGAUACUAUGGAUGAGGAGGAGUACAGUCGAGUAAACUCUAAGAACCACCGCGGCGGCUCUCUGACUGAACGCCUGAAAGGCGGAGUUGUGGUGGCGCCGUCGAGGACUAGUGAACUAACUCUUGCUUUUGAAGGUGAAGUCUAUGUCUUCCCUGCCGUCACUCCCGAGAAGGUUCAAGCAGUGCUCUUGCUUUUGGGGGGACCUGAUAUUCCUACUGCUGUGCCCUCUGUAGAUGUUCCUUUGAAUAGCAAGGUUGAGGAUGAUAUGCCAAAGCACCCCAAUCUUUCAAGAAGAAUAGCCUCUCUGGUUAGGUUCCGUGAGAAAAGGAAGGAGAGAUGUUAUGAUAAGAAAAUUAGAUACACUGUCCGGAAGGAGGUUGCUCAAAGGAUGCACCGGAAGAAUGGUCAAUUUGCAUCAUUGAAGGGAGGUGGGUCAUCCAAUUGGGAUCCAUCGAACUGUGUCCUUGAAGAUGGUACACCGCAAUCAGAAACUGUUCCUCGUAGAUGUCACCAUUGUGGUGUUAGUGAGAAUUGCACUCCAGCAAUGCGUCGCGGGCCUGAUGGACCAAGAACACUUUGUAAUGCAUGUGGGCUAAAGUGGGCAAACAAGGGAACAUUGAGAGAUUUAAGCAAGGGAGGGAGGAUCAUUUCUCUGGAGCAUAGAGAGCUGGAUACACCAACUGAUAUCAAGCCUUCUGUCCUUCAAAAUGAGAGCUUCCCUCAUAAUCAGGAUGAACUAUGCAUGUAGGGAACUCCUGGAGAUCCCUUGAAAACUGCAACUCUAGGAACUCAAGUUCAUUCAGAUAAUCAUAACGAGAAUUUGCCUGGAAAUUGCAAGGAUCUUGCUAACAAGAUUCCUGAUGUUAUUGUCCGAUCUCCAGGCCACAUUGAUGUUCAGGAAACACUAGUUGACUUUGGAAAUGGUUCUAAAACAGAGAUAGAUAUUCCGGCAAACUUUGAAUAGUUUGUGUCCAGUCCCCAAACUGGCAUAUUAAGUCAAAUUUAUUUUUAUAAAUUCUCUAACUGCUUUCUGGAAUACAGAGGUUGGAUAUAUAUAUGAUACUGUCAGCAGCUUGACUGUAUAUAGUUGUUGGGUUGACUUGGAACAUAUGCUAGAGUGCAUAGAAGCCAAUUUAAACUUACAAGUUGUAAUAUGGGAAAAAUGGGUGGUUUAUAUUUGACUACUUGAGUAUAAAUGUAUAAUUAUGGGGUAUACGAAUGUAUGAAGGGUGUCGUGGAUAAA